rnacentral:tRNA from 2 species
GUUCUUAUAGUUGAAUUACAACAGCAGUUUUUCAGACUGUGGGUCUAGGUUAAAAUCCUUGUAAGAAUU